UUAACCGGGCGUUAAGUUGCAGGGUAUAGACCCGAAACCCGGUGAUCUAGCCAUGGGCAGGUUGAAGGUUGGGUAACACUAACUGGAGGACCGAACCGACUAAUGUUGAAAAAUUAGCGGAUGACCUGUGGCUGGGGGUGAAAGGCCAAUCAAACCGGGAGAUAGCUGGUUCUCCCCGAAAGCUAUUUAGGUAGCGCCUCGUGAAUUCAUCUCCGGGGGUAGAGCACUGUUUCGGCUAGGGGGCCAUCCCGGCUUACCAACCCGAUGCAAACUGCGAAUACCGGAGAAUGUUAUCACGGGAGACACACGGCGGGUGCUAACGUCCGUCGUGAAGAGGGAAACAACCCAGACCGCCAGCUAAGGUCCCAAAGUCAUGGUUAAGUGGGAAACGAUGUGGGAAGGCCCAGACAGCCAGGAUGUUGGCUUAGAAGCAGCCAUCAUUUAAAGAAAGCGUAAUAGCUCACUGGUCGAGUCGGCCUGCGCGGAAGAUGUAACGGGGCUAAACCAU
rnacentral:rRNA from 1 species